rnacentral:rRNA from 1 species
UACAGGGGGUGCAAACGUUGCUCGGAAUUAUUGGGCCUAAAGCAUCCGUAGCCGGUUCUACGAGUCUUCCGUUAAAUCCAACUGCUUAACAGGUGGGCUGCGGAAGAUACUAUAGAGCUAGGAGGCGGGAGAGGCAAGCGGUACUCGAUGGGUAGGGGUAAAAUCCGUUGAUCCAUUGAAGACCACCAGUGGCGAAGGCGGCUUGCCAGAACGCGCUCGACGGUGAGGGAUGAAGGCUGGGGGAGCAAACCGG